CCUACGGGGGGCAGCAGUGGGGAAUAUUGCACAAUGGGGGAAACCCUGAUGCAGCGACGCCGCGUGAGCGAGGAAGUACCUCGGUAUGUAAAGCUCUGUCAGCAGGGAAGAAAAUGGCAGUACCUGACCAAGAAGCCCCGGCUAACUACGUGCCAGCAGCCGCGGUAAUACGUAGGGGGCAAGCGUUAUCCGGAUUUACUGGGUGUAAAGGGAGCGUAGACGGCAGCGCAGGUCUGGAGUGAAAUGCCGGGGCCCAACCCCGGAACUGCUUUGGAAACUGUGCGGCUCGAGUGCGG
rnacentral:rRNA from 1 species